UCCUGGUGCGGAGUAGGUAGAGUCCAUGUAAUUAAGAGGAACACUUUCUGCAAUUAUUUCAACUCAUGGGCAGGGGGGUCCCUGAGCUGGCAUCAGCAUCCCCUAUGCCUCACUCUCACCUGUGAUGCCUGUGAGAAGCAGUAGAGUGAAUUAACUCCAGAUCUGCAGAUAGUCUCUAGAACAGUCCUCCCCACAGCAGCUUUAUCUUCGGACAGGGUGGUAAAGACAGUACCUUGAGGGUGUCAAAAAGGACAUAGAACUCGUAAGUCCUAAGUGUCUGGCGGUAUAAAGAGAAGUCACUGUGAACUCCUGUCUAAAAGAAGCUCUAGAAUUAACUUUCUGUCACGCGGAAUACACCUCGAUGUUAAAUAAACAAGCUAAUGCAUAUACUUAUCCAAGUCCCCAGAUGUGCCCAUCUGUAAGUGCUAACUUUAUAGUAAACAUGUCAGCAUUUCCAAACUACCAAAUAAUACAGAAUGCAUAACGAUAUUUCAGGUCAAAUUUUACAACAACUAGCCUAUAUGAUUAUAAAUGGGUUUCUACAUUGCGAGAUUUCUAGAGUGUGAUAACUACAUAUUGCCGAUGAAUCGAUUAGAUGGGAUGUCUCAUGCUUUGUUUCCCAGAAUUAUUUAAUCCUGGGCCUCUUCAUUUGAGAAUAUCCAAGGAGAACUCUAUUUACAAUACCAUUUGGGAAACGCUUAUAACUCUACAUUCCAUUUGCUAACUUUUAGUUCACCAUGAUGACACUGAGAUAAUAUCUUUAAAAAGUCACGGAACUGGGUCCCUCUUAUGUCCCAACAUGCAAUAAUAGCUCUGAUAAAACAGUAUGGUCAAUUUCUACAUUCUUCAGAGCCUAAGUAUCUUUUGCAUUUUCACCCCAAAUGCUGGCAUAUGAAAAGAAAGCCUGCUGUACAGAUGUUGGAUGACUAAUAUCUCAGUAAUCUGUCAGAUUACCUGACAAAAGGAGCUUAAGUAGAUAUUUUUGCUCACAGAGAAACGUCAUGGUGCCGGAAGUCUGAGGUAGCUGAUCACACUGAGUCCACCAUCAGGGGGAACAGAGCAAUGAAUGGUGAUUGUCAGUAAGCGUCCUCCUCUCUCUGCCUUCAAGACCCAAGCUUAGGGCAGGAUGCCACCCACCUAAGGGUGGCUCUUCCAUCUCAUUCAAUCUAAUCAAGACAAUCCCUCACAGCAUAGCCAGAGGUUUGUCUCCUAUGUGAUUCUAGGUCCUGUCAAAUCAAUACCAGCUAGUAACCACCAUGGCCACUGACUACUUUAAAAUGGCAAAUCUGAGAGAUAACAUAGUAUCCAUUCACAAGAAUUGGUAUCUCCUUUGACACUGCAGCUGCCACAGUGGGCAUGAGGCCGAGUUAUGAUAACCUGUUAUCCUCAAAUACUGAAGGCUAAAUGUCAGAGACUGACACUGAGCUAAUGGACCCUCUGGAGUGGGCACCACAUAUGCUGAAACCAAGUCAGAAGCAAUCUUGAAAACCACCAUCCAAACACAAUGUAAUAGACCUUGCAUCCAUAUGUGCACAUUUCAACCAGACUGGUGCACAUCCCAGAGGCCAACUGUCAAACCUGAUUCCCACUGCAAGCACUUCAUGUGUCCCAAGCCCCAGCAUCCUGUAGUCCUCACACAACCCCAGCAAUCCCCACACAGCUACCGUUCUAAUUGAAAGACAGGAAUGUGGACAGACCUUCCAGAACAUGGGUGGCAAUGUGGUCACCCAUUGCAGAAUACAAGGUUCCACCCAGGAGGUUCUCUCCAGUCACCUUCCUUAAAAACAGAAGUGAAGUUCCACAGCAGUGCAUAUGCUUAGUAGACAUACAAGUUCCUGAGUUCAAGCCCCAGCAUCAUCCUUUUUUUUUUUUUCAUUUAAAAAAAAUUUAAAUAUAGGGGCUGGAGAAAUGACUCAGCAGUUAAGAGAUCAUGUUGCAUUUAUAGAGGACCCCGGCUCAGUUAGUUCCUAAUGCCCACAUGGCAGGUCAUGACCACCUCUAACUCCAAUUCCAGGAAAUCCUGGGUCCUCUUCUGGCCUCCUGGAGUACUAGGCAAACACAGGGCAAACAUAUAUAUACACAGGCAAAACACUCACACAUCUAAUUAAAUAAAUAAAUAUUAAAAAAUAAGUAAAAUUGAAAACUUCCGCUUCCAAUUUUCUAAUAGGAACACAUAUUAUAUACUUAACUAUCGAAAUGUACUUUUACACACAAAUCCACUACCAAACAGGAGGAAUCUAGUGUGAAGCGCCACACGUCCAGGAUGGCUACCCAAAUGAUACAGAGGCUCAGUGAUGUGGGUGGACCUUUAGGUCUUGUUAAUUAUGGUAUGAGCUGUUUUUUAUCUUCAAAGUUUUAAAUAAUACAUUUCAUUUUAAAAUUAACUUAAAAGCCUGUCUUUUUGUUUUUUGAAACAAAUACUACAUCUUUAAUUCCCAAAUAUAGCUUCUACUGAAUAAACAGCAUCACAAAUAAAAUAUUCUAUUAGAAAUACUAUCAUAUGUUGAAAAUAAUAUUUUAUUUUUAAAAUAAGGAAGGAAAGAGCAAGAAAUGCUGACUGUUAAGGAAGAGGACAGCGAGGUUAGGAACGAGGACCAAAAGCUAAUUGUUUUCCUAAUGCUAAGUCUGCCAUGUAUUUUUUUAAUGAUAAAUAAAUGCAUAAAGUUUGUUCAAUAUUAAAAGCGUAAAUUUAAUGUGAGGCGUCAAAGCUUCUACUCUGAAUGCCUUUUCUACACGGACAGAGCUCUCUGAGUUUCAUGGACUUUUGGUCUAGUUAAUAUUGGUGUAUGUUUUCAUUUACCUGCAAUGGGUUUUAAUAAUAAAGCUUAUAAAAUUAUAUAUAUUCAUGUAUAUAAUUUAAAUAUAACAUUACCAAGAAAUGAUUAGGGAACCUAUAGGAUGUCGAGCCAAUGGCCUAAUUUCCCAAAAAUCUUCGUGUUUUUAAUCUGGAAAAUCGAACUGAACUCACUUUCCUCAGGAGGGCACAUGAGAAUCCAGAAAAAACCACAAAGCCAAAAGCUUGAGGUGUGUGUAAGGCCUGCCCUGCAGUGCUCUAGCAUACUGAGGUAUGCGCUCAGCCUGAUUACUGGGGGCACCCAGCUGCAAAAGAGGAGGCCACACCCACACCCACUAGCUGGGUGCCAUUAACUGGUUAUAGGUCAAGACAGUGUUAAAAACUCCUUGUGAAAGUAACAUGAGUUCAUUUAGAAUGUUCGAGCUACAGAAGGUGAUAAGAAUUUCCUCCCUCUGGCCUGCUGCCAGUCAGGGAGGCAUCUGCCCUUCUCCCUGUUUAGAAGGCCAGCUCAUGGGUUCCCAUCUAGUGAGUUACCCCCUCUGUUGUGGUUCCCAGCAGCCAUGUAGCUCUGCACUGUUGCUGUAUUUUCUUGCGUUCCUUGUUUGUACGUUCUUUUGCUCUGGCGUUUGCAACAUAAUAUAUUUAAUUAUGAACUGAAAGCCUAUAACCUAUGGUAUUCUGAGCAUAAUAAAAGCAUUACCCUUCUUGCCAAUAUGAAAAAUGAGGAACAUGACCAAGAGAUUGGAGAAGAGGGAAGCGUGGGAGUGCUAUCUUAAUCGCAUAUCUUGGCAUCAAUAAAUACUCUCUAAAACUAAUAAAUUCUACGAAUGAUGAAUUUCAUACUGCUAGUCACAUUAAUAAUGACUUGCUACCACAAAAAAAGUUCUGAAAACUAAAAAACACAACAUAAACAAAUUACAGGAAAAGAAGAAAUAGACAAGCACCUGUGGAAGAAGUGAGAAGCAGCCUUGCAGCUCUGCCCUCCACCCAAGGACUCUGCCUUGCCCUUUACCACGCAAACCCUCUACUGUUGGGACUUUCAGACGGUGAUCCCCCCACCGCCCCCCGCCCCCCCCGCAGCAGACACGGUCCAACUAUUUAGCACUGGCUGUCCUAGGGACUCACUCUGUACCCUAGGAAGGCCUCAAACUCAGAGAUCCGCCUCCCUGGUCUUAUCAGUACUGGGAUUAACGAUGAUUCUGAUUUCUCUGCAUUCCACUUAAUUUGGCAGCUAUCCCUCUGAGGUUUAAUACCAGGAUUUAAACCACUUCUUCUAUUUAAGAAUUUUGCCACACUUACGUUCAUUUUCACAGUUUCAGACAAAAACGAGACACCUUCACACAACAGCUCUCCACAAAAGCCUCCCACUCACCUCACGUUCAUUCCCUUGUUUCCUACACAGGCUAGUCUCAAACUCACAAAGUAGCUAGGAAUGCCCUUCAACCUCUGGGGUCCUGGAAGUGCAGUCCUGUGGCCAUACCCACUCCUACCUUCCUUAUUGUUUUCGUUAAGUCUACCUCAAGUUUCUUGGUUUUGGGGUUUUUGUUUGUUUGCUUGCUUUUGUUUUUGUUUUUUGUUUUUUUUUUUCAGGAAUCAAGACUAUGUCCAUUAUUACUCAUUAUACUCGAGAACCUUGGAAUAAAACAAGUAUCUUUAUACUGUAUAAAAAUGACUUUAAUACAGGAUGGGAUUUUGUGAGCUUUCUUUUUUUCUUUUCAUUGUUUUAUUUAUUUAUUUAUUUACUUUACAGUUCUGUAGCAGUCCCCUCCCUCCUCUUCUCCCACCCUCCUUUCACUCCCUCCCCUCUGGGUGUCAACUUCCCCUCCCCUAGUUGCUGCUAAGCAUCCUGCAUAGCCCUACAAAUGAUAAUUUUCCACAACCCUCCCAGCUCCAGGUUUGAUGAUAUCAAACCGGUAACGAGUAACAUAAAAUUGGCUGUGGUGGGCAAUUGGCUCAAAUCAGGCUGGUCCCUGGCAGCACACCAGUACAAAGGCCUGUGCAUCAGACAAAUACUGGAAACAACAGCUGCUUUUAGAGCUGUGUUAAGUAAGAGUACUUCCACUUCUUCCCCUAGGGACAAUAUGUCUUUCAGGCUUCUUAAACAGUGAAUUGAUUCAGAGGGCUUAACUUCCUUGAUACUACACUUCAACCAGAUGCACUACUGUUAUGAUUAACACUGCAGAGCCUGUGUGCACAAAUGAGCUGCGUUUCUAGAGUGAAUACCAGUCUUUCCAGUUCUCUUGGAUACGUGCACAUAGCAUGGUUAGCCCUAGCCAUUCUAAAUAGUACAUCUAACUUGGUGUUCAUUAUCAUCAUUACUGAGAAUCGUAAGAAAGCAUAAGGAUAUUUAUUUAUUGUGGUAUGAUAAAUAAAACUAUUGAAAGGUAGAGGCGCAGGCCUCCUCUCCUUUUUCCACUCAUUUCAAACACAAAAAUAUUUAAAAAAUAAUAAUCACACCAUUCUUUUUCUCUAGCUCUCAGCUAUCUAUAAAUUAAAAGCAAAAACUGUUAUUUAGUGGUGUCCUUGAUCCCUUUAACAUCACAAAAAUCAGUUCUAAAAAUGAUAUGCAGUAUAAUCAGUCAACUCGGUGGGACAGGAAAGAAAGGAUGAAGGACAAAUUAUCACUGAACAUUAUUGUACAACAUAGUGAAGCCAGGCUAAAAAUCACAUCCAACUGGUCUACCUGGGUCAUCUACCUAGUGGUCAUGAAACAAAACGAUUUCACAGAAGGAAGAACAAGCAUAGCAAAGAUUAACUGAACAUACCAGCAUCAUCUGAGGCUGUAUCAUCGCCAGUGGCUCUCUGACUCCUGAUGCUCAUUGCUCUAAGCACCUCACUGCAUGCCUAGAUGCAGAGCUACUAAAUUCUAAUAAUAAUAUCACUAGGUUGUAUCAUCGCCAGUGGCUCUCUGACUCCUGAUGCUCAUUGCUCUAAGCACCUCACUGCAUGCCUAGAUGCAGAGCUACUAAAUUCUAAUAAUAAUAUCACUAGGUUGUAUCAUCGCCAGUGGCUCUCUGACUCCUGAUGCUCAUUGCUCUAAGCACCUCACUGCAUGCCUAGAUGCAGAGCUACUAAAUUCUAAUAAUAAUAUCACUAGGUUGUAUCAUCGCCAGUGGCUCUCUGACUCCUGAUGCUCAUUGCUCUAAGCACCUCACUGCAUGCCUAGAUGCAGAGCUACUAAAUUCUAAUAAUAAUAUCACUUCUGAACUUUAUCUUACUACUAACUGUCAUUAAAGGGAGAGAAAACAUUAGCUUUAAAAAACAGAAACAACAGGACAAUAUUCUUUCUAAAUUCUCUGGUACCUAGGAUUUUGUUUUUGUUAGUUUUGUUUGGUUGGUUUUGAAACAGGGUUUCUCUGUGUAGCUCUAGCUAUCCUGGAACUCCCUGCAUAGACCAAGCUGGCCUCAGACUUGGAGAUCUUCCUGCCUCUGCCUCUCGAAUGCUGGAGUUAAAGGUUAUCUAGUAUUUUUAAUGGGCUUAUUUUCAUCUUUAUUUAUGUGUGUAUCUAUGUAUGCAGGUGCCCUUGGAGGCCAGAAAAGAGUGUCAAAUUCCCCUGGAACUAGACUUAUAGGUAGCUGGGAGUCACCUAGCUGGAGUGCUGAGGACUGAACUCAGCACUCUUAACCUGUACACCAGCCCUCCAGCUCCUACCUGAACAUGUCACUGCACUUCAGGAAAAGCAUGCAGCCUUCAACAGAAAGAAUGGUGACUAUUCAGAAGGCCUGACUUGAUUUUUAUCUCUUCAUUUGGAAUCACAAAAAUAAAUUGUAUUUCUCAGAAUACAAUUUUUGGAUUGCCCAUGCUUUGUGCUCAAAGUCAAAUUUUGCUAUCACUGUUAACAGACUCGCAAUCAACAGCUCGAAACUUAAAGAUAAUCCCCCAUCACCAAUGGGGUAGUUAUGAGCACUGUACUUGAAUCAGACUCAUCUUGGUUGGAAUCAGACAUUUAACUUUCAACAAUAUAGAAACCUUCUACUGCUCAAUAUUCUCAUUUCUUAGGUAGAGACAAAAACUAUCUACCUAAAAAGGUUACUAGACUACUAAGAAACUCUAUGACAAGUACACAGUAAACUUUAAUAUACAGUAAUUGCUCUCUAUGCCCAUGAAUCAGCUCAGCUACACAGGAAUUCAUGGUGGCACCUUGCAAUCACAGCAGUUUAAACAAGAGCAUCUCAAUUUGCAAGCUGUACAUAAAUCAACAGAGGACAUUGUAAAGUGUGUGGACCGUGACUGGGUCUUCUGGUGGAACCUAAGGUUCUGCAUUCCUGUCUAGUAAUCGCUUAGAGGACACGGACAAUGGUCUUGAGACUACAGUAUAGAUAUCAGAUAUCCAACAGUAGAUCUUUCCAUUAUGACUCCUCUGGCAAGUCCAAGCAUGCUAGACAAUAUCUCACCUUGAGUCUACCACUCAACAUGUCUUCCCUGCAAAACUAUACAACUCAUGGUCAAAAGCAUGGACCACUCAAGAUAACUGCUAAACAUAGAAUACAAGUACGAAAAAAUCCAGAAACCUGUAGAAAGAAAUUGAGAUUUCAAAUGAAAUAGACCCAGAUUCAAACUCUAGUUGCUGAUGUCCUAGCCGUUUAUAUAACUUGGAAUUAAUUGUCAAAUUUACCGAGUUAAGUUUCCUUACUUGUAAAUUGCUGAUGAUACUUAACCUAAAAAUUUAAGAUAUUUCAAAUAAAAAGUCGGCAUUAUUAAAAGACAGAUUCUCACUUUGUAGACGAAGCUUCUGGGGAAUGUAUUAUUUUCCUGCCUCCGCCUCCCAAACGCUAAGAUUAUCAUGCCCAACUAGUAAGACAUAACUCAGAAAAAAUAUGCUAUGCUAACAUACUCAUACUCUCAUGGGCUGACACACAGUAUGCAACAGGAAGGUGACAGCUGCCUCUCCAACUCCGAUGCCUCUGCUGGAGUCACUUGCUGUUUUAAUCACUGGCCUGCUGCUGGCCCUCAGCUCCAGAGGCCUCUCUCUCCAGCAAACCAUCGGAGGACUGGCCACUAUUGAAGUUCCUUCCUAUGCUAUUCCAAGUCGCCAUCCUAGUGAUUUCCCAUGAGAAGACAGUCUGCUCUCCUCGUCCUCAACACCUAAAGAGUGGAAUUGAACUAUGCCACUCACACAGCUUUUCUUCAUGCUGCCCGUCUCUUGUAGGCUUCACCUCCCACACAGAGAAAAGAGUAAAAACACAGGUGGUCUCCAUCAUGGUCUUGAAAACAGAUUACAAUAUUAUUUAUUCAAUUAUCAAAAUAUUAUUAUAAAAAUCAGCCUGGAGUGGCAAGAUGGCUCAGUGGUAAGGGGUGUUUGUCACCAACCCUGCAUGCACCUCACAGAUGAUGUGAGCUUAAUUCCUGGGACCUAUAUGGUGGAACAAAGGAACCGACUUCUGAAAGUCUAUACACAACAGUGGCAGGUAUGCACAUA